GAUUGAACGCUGGCGGCAGGCCUACCACAUGCAAGUCGAGCGGAUGAAGGGAGCUUGCUCCUGGAUUCAGCGGCGGACGGGUGAGUAAUGCCUAGGAAUCUGCCUGGUAGUGGGGGAUAACGUCCGGAAACGGGCGCUAAUACCGCAUACGUCCUGAGGGAGAAAGUGGGGGAUCUUCGGACCUCACGCUAUCAGAUGAGCCUAGGUUGGAUUAGCUAGUUGGUGGGGUAAAGGCCUACCAAGGCGACGAUCCGUAACUGGUCUGAGAGGAUGAUCAGUCACACUGGAACUGAGACACGGUCCAGACUCCUACGGGAGGCAGCAGUGGGGAAUAUUGGACAAUGGGCGAAAGCCUGAUCCAGCCAUGCCGCGUGUGUGAAGAAGGUCUUCGGAUUGUAAAGCACUUUAAGUUGGGAGGAAGGGCAGUAAGUUAAUACCUUGCUGUUUUGACGUUACCAACAGAAUAAGCACCGGCUAACUUCGU
rnacentral:rRNA from 1 species